UACGAAGGGGGCUAGCGUUGUUCGGAAUUACUGGGCGUAAAGGGCGCGUAGGCGGUGUGUCAAGUCAGGCGUGAAAGCCCCGGGCUCAACCUGGGAACCGCGCUUGAGACUGGCACGCUAGAGUCCGGGAGAGGAUGGUGGAAUUCCCAGUGUAGAGGUGAAAUUCGUAGAUAUUGGGAAGAACACCGAUGGCGAAGGCAGCCAUCUGGACCGGCACUGACGCUGAGGCA
rnacentral:rRNA from 1 species